rnacentral:rRNA from 1 species
UCGGAUUGUAGUCUGCAACUCGACUACAUGAAGCUGGAAUCGCUAGUAAUCGCGAAUCAGAAUGUCGCGGUGAAUACGUUCCCGGGUCUUGUACACACCGCCCGUCACACCAUGGGAGUCAGUAACGCCCGAAGCCGGUGACCCAACCAGUUCAGGAGGGAGCCGUCGAAGGUGGGACCGAUAAUGGGGUGAAGUCGUAACAAGGUACC